GGCCCGCACAAGCGGUGGAGUAUGUGGUUUAAUUCGACGCAACGCGCAGAACCUUACCCAGUCUUGACAUCCCUGGACCACUAUGGAGACAUAGCUUUUCGACCUAACGGAAGAAUCAGGUGACAGGUGCUGCAAUGGCUGUCGUCAGCUCGUGUCGUGAGAUGUUCGGUUAAGUCCGGUAACGAGCGCAACCCCCUGUCCUUAGUUGCCAAUUAUGGAACUCUAAGGAGACUCCCGGUGUUAAACCGGCGAAGAUGGGAUGACGUCAAGUCCUCAUGGCCCUUAUCGGCUGGGGGCUACACACGUACUACAAUGGCAACUACAAAGAGCUGCGAAGUCGCGAGGCCAAGCUAAUCUCAAAAAGUUGCUC
rnacentral:rRNA from 1 species